UUAAUGUGAAGACACCAGAAGAUAAGCUCCAUGCAUCCUUCAGAUUAAAAUGGAAAUGCCUUCUCAAAGUCAGCUAUUUUAAGUGUAGUAGAUCAUGAUUCUCGUGCUGAUAGCAUAAAUGAUAUGCCUGACUGUGCUAGGCUAGUCCAUUUGGACCAAUAUUUGUGGGGAUGUUUUUAAGUGUAGUAGAUCAUGAUUCUCGUGCUGAUAGCAUAAAUGAUAUGCCUGACUGUGCUAGGCUAGUCCAUUUGGACCAAUAUUUGUGGGGAUGUAUUGCCUAGCAUUUUGAGGAUUUUCCACGGCUGACAGG
rnacentral:lncRNA from 1 species